GACGAACGCUGGCGGCGUGCUUAACACAUGCAAGUCGAACGGAAAGGCCCCUUUGGGGGUACUCGAGUGGCGAACGGGUGAGUAACACGUGAGUAACCUGCCCUUGACUUCGGGAUAACUUCAGGAAACUGGGGCUAAUACCGGAUAGGAAUCCUUGCUGCGUGGGGGGGGUUGGAAAGCUUCGGCGGGUUUGGAUGGACUCGCGGCUCAUCAGCUUGUUUGUGGGGUAGUGGCUUACCAAGGCUUUGACGGGUAGCCGGCCUGGGAGGGCGAGCGGCCACAUUGGGACUGAGAUACGGCCCAGACUCCUACGGGAGGCAGCAGUGGGGAAUAUUGCACAAUGGGCGGAAGCCUGAUGCAGCAACGCCGCGUGCGGGAUGACGGCCUUCGGGUUGUAAACCGCCUUCAGCAGGGGAGAAGCUUGUGGUGACGGUACCUGCAGAAGAAGCACCGGCUAACUACGUG
rnacentral:rRNA from 1 species